rfam:Stegodyphus mimosarum contig95619, whole genome shotgun sequence.
GCCUUCGUGGUGUAAUGGUCAAUCAUACUCGGCGCGUAUUCGAGAGGUCCGUGGUUCGAGUCCCGGCAAGGGCA